AGCAGGCGCGCAAAUUACCCAAUCCCGACACGGGGAGGUAGUGACAAUAAAUAACAAUACGGGGUUCUUUAGGAUCUCGUAAUUGGAAUGAGUACAAUUUAAAUCUCUUAACGAGGAACAAUUGGAGGGCAAGUCUGGUGCCAGCAGCCGCGGUAAUUCCAGCUCCAAUAGCGUAUAUUAAAGUUGUUGCAGUUAAAAAGCUCGUAGUUGAAUUUCGGGGUUAGNAGGUUGGUCAUGCCUCUGGUAUGUACUGGUCUCACUGAUUCCUCCUUCCUUAUGAACCGUAAUGCCAUUAAUUUGGUGUUGCGGGGAAUUUGGACUGUUACUUUGAAAAAAUUAGAGUGUUUAAAGCAAGCUAACGCUUGAAUACAUUAGCAUGGAAUAAUGAAAUAGGACGUUCGAUCUUAUUUUGUUGGUUUCUAGGAUUAACGUAAUGAUUAAUAGGGAUAGUUGGGGGCAUUAGUAUUCAAUUGUCAGAGGUGAAAUUCUUGGAUUUAUUGAAGACUAACUACUGCGAAAGCAUUUGCCAAGGAUGUUUUCAUUAAUCAAGAACGAAAGUUAGGGGAUCGAAGACGAUCAGAUACCGUCGUAGUCUUAACCAUAAACUAUGCCGACUAGGGAUCGGAUGAUGUUAAUUUUUUAAUGACUCAUUCGGCGCCUUACGGGAAACCAAAGUGUUUGGGUUCA
rnacentral:rRNA from 1 species